UGAUGCUACUCAUGGCAGAGUCUUUAUUCUAUUUGGUCUAGCCCGUGCCCCUUCAUGCACCACCAACAUGCAGGACGGUUUUGGGGUGGGGAAGCCCCAAAUGUCUAUGGGGCAAGGCUUUAUAGUAAGCAGCAAGCAGGGAGUACAUGUGCAAGCAUCUAAUUGGAGAGCUACUGUGGCCUUUAACGUAAUUGGCUGGUGCUGGGAGUCAUAUCAUAAACUAAACUUCUGUUCUCCUCUGCAUUGGUGGUUAUUAGGUAAGAGGUGGGCUUGUAACCUGGGGGUGCAGGUUUUGUUGGGGGAAUAACCUGAAGAUGCUGGUCUUGUUGAGGGUGUAACCUGGAAAUUCUGUCUUGCUG
rnacentral:lncRNA from 1 species